rnacentral:rRNA from 1 species
CAUCUAGUUGAUAGUUUGAUCCUUGCUCAGGAUGAACGGCUAGCGGCAGUAUAAUACAUGCAGGCCCGGACGGCAAGGCGUGUAGCAAUACAUGCCGUAGAGUGGCGCAAGGGUGCGUAACACGUAUGCAACCUGCCCACGGCCCGGGGAUAGCCCCCCGAAAAGGGGGAUUAACACCCGAUAGUAACUUGAUCUGGCAUCGGAUUGAGUUUAAGCCACGGGGCCGUGGAUGGGCAUGCGGUCGAUUAGCUAGUUGGCGGGGUAACGGCCCACCAAGGCGAUGAUCGAUAGGGGUUCUGAGAGGAAGGUCCCCCACACUGGCACUGAGACACGGGCCAGACUCCUACGGGAGGCAGCAGUAGGGAAUAUUGGACAAUGGGCGGAAGCCUGAUCCAGCCAUGCCGCGUGCAGGAAGAAGGCCUUCUGGGUCGUAAACUGCUUUUGCCGGGGGAUAAAACGCCCCUGCGGGGGAGAUUGAAGGUACCCGGUGAAUAAGCCACGGCUAACUACGUGCCAGCAGCCGCGGUAAUACGUAGGUGGCGAGCGUUGUCCGGAUUUAUUGGGUUUAAAGGGUGCGUAGGCGGCCCUGUAAGUCAGUGGUGAAAUACGGCAGCUCAACUGUCGAGGUGCCAUUGAUACUGCAGGGCUUGAGUGUUGACGAGGCAGGCGGAAUUGACGGUGUAGCGGUGAAAUGCUUAGAUAUCGUCAAGAACACCGAUAGCGAAGGCAGCUUGCCAGGCAACAACUGACGCUGAGGCACGAAAGUGCGGGGAUCAAACAGGAUUAGAUACCCUGGUAGUCCGCACAGUAAACGAUGGUCACUCGAUGUUGGCGAUACACGGCCAGCGUCUUAGCGAAAGCGAUAAGGACCACAUGG